GCCUUUUCCUUUGAAGAAGGCUCUUGUUAAAUUUCACUAGACAUCAGUCGGUCUCGGGAGCUGCAUCCCCACUUCGCUUCCUUGAUGCUCCAAACUCCACAGGUGGAACAGAGGGAAGUGGAUGUGUGUUUGCAAAUGUGGGCACAAAGUGAGGUUCUGGUUGCUGAGGAAGCAAGUGCUAAUGAUCCUGCUUUAGACUAAUUACAACCUACAAGGACUGCAGGGGUGGGAACUCAUUAAUUUCUUUGCUGGUGUUGGUCUUUGUGUCUCUUCCAGUGUUGGCAAAAAUCAUGCUUUUUGUUGUUGUUCAGGUCUUUCAAUCUGGAUAAGUUCUACAGGUUUGGUUUUGUUUUGAGUUUCCUAAUUUCCAGGAAACAACUAAAGUGAAAGCAGAAGGGAAAAAUUCAUCCUUCCCUCCUGCUGAGUGGAGCUGGGAGUGUGAAUGAGCUUUGAUGAGCCCCAACAUGAGGAGCAGUGGCUUCCCUGGGGACUGAAAGCUCACACUGCUGCAGUUGAGAGGUGGUGGCUUGGCUCUGCUCCCCAGCACUUGCAGUCUUCUGUAUUUCUUCCAGACCAGCCUCAGUAUUUACCACAACCAGACUGACCCCGUUCUGUGGUUCCCUGCUGGCAGAAUGAUGUUCUGCAGAAGACCCUUCCCAGGAAAAUAUCUGGGCUCCUCAGCCUGCAUUGCCCCAGUGGGGUGAGACCGCCGGGAUCGUGGUGGGCUCUGCAUGGCCAACACCUGGGAACACCACCAACAGCACCCUCCAAAAGCUCCCUGAUUCUGGGGCUGAAAUCCUGCCAGCUCUGAAGGCAAGUGCAAAACGUGUCUGACCUGGGCUGAAGGAAAACCUUGGACUUUGGCUGGAAUCAGAUGGUUUGAAGCACAUUCACUGGAGAAUGACGAUUAAAAGAACAAAACCAACGCGCGGAGCAAACCUCACACUGUCAACUUCCAGUUCAAGGUGUCUCAAGACGCACCCAACCCUCUUCUCCUCGACCUGCGUCGCCCCAAGGGAUGCCUCACACCCAGAAACGGGGGACUCCCUCACCACCCCAUCAGGGAGUCCACGCUGCUCAGUACGUGGGUGCUCUACGGUUUCAGUGGCACAGAUCCCUUCUGUUCUGAUAUUUCUUCAAAAAAAAGCGCAAGGAAGGAAGGUGCUUCAAACAGGCGUCGUCCUCCU